rnacentral:rRNA from 1 species
GACGAACGCUGGCGGCGUGCUUAACACAUGCAAGUCGUACGGUAAGGCCCUUUCGGGGGUACACGAGUGGCGAACGGGUGAGUAACACGUGAGUAACCUGCCCACAACUUUGGGAUAACGCUAGGAAACUGGUGCUAAUACUGGAUAUGUGCUCCUGCUGCAUGGUGGGGGUUGGAAAGCUCCGGCGGUUGUGGAUGGACUCGCGGCCUAUCAGCUUGUUGGUGGGGUAGUGGCCUACCAAGGCGGCGACGGGUAGCCGGCCUGAGAGGGUGACCGGCCAAAUUGGGACUGAGAAACGGCCCAGACCCCUACGGGGGGCAGCAGGGGGGAAUAUUGCACAAGGGGCGAAAGCCUGAUGCAGCAACGCCGGGUGCGGGAUGACGGCCUUCGGGUUGUAAACCGCUUUCAGCGGGGACGAAGCUUUUUGGGACGGUACCUGCAAAAGAAGCACCGGCUAACUACGU